GAUGAACGCUGGCGGCGUGCCUAAUACAUGCAAGUCGAGCGAACAGACGAGGAGCUUGCUUCUCUGACGUUAGCGGCGGACGGGUGAGUAACACGUGGAUAACCUACCUAUAAGACUGGGAUAACUUCGGGAAACCGGAGCUAAUACCGGAUGAUAUUUUGAACCGCAUGGUUCAAUAGUGAAAGACGGUUUUGCUGUCACUUAUAGAUGGAUCCGCGCUGCAUUAGCUAGUUGGUAAGGUAACGGCUUACCAAGGCAACGAUGCGUAGCCGACCUGAGAGGGUGAUCGGCCACACUGGAACUGAGACACGGUCCAGACUCCUACGGGAGGCAGCAGUAGGGAAUCUUCCGCAAUGGGCGAAAGCCUGACGGAGCAACGCCGCGUGAGUGAUGAAGGUCUUCGGAUCGUAAAACUCUGUUAUUAGGGAAGAACAAAUGUGUAAGUAACUAUGCACGUCUUGACGGUACCUAAUCAGAAAGCCACGGCUAACUACGUG
rnacentral:rRNA from 1 species